GCUGGGGUGGCGGAGUGGACAAUCGCAUUUCUCUGUAAAAGAAAUGUCCGAAAGGGCUACAUAGGUUCGAAUCCUGUCCCCAGCA
rnacentral:tRNA from 2 species